rnacentral:rRNA from 1 species
UUACCAACCCUUGACAUGGGUAUCGCGGGACCGGAGACGGUCCUUUCAGUUCGGCUGGAUACCACACAGGUGCUGCAUGGCUGUCGUCAGCUCGUGUCGUGAGAUGUUCGGUUAAGUCCGGCAACGAGCGCAACCCACACUUUCAGUUGCCAUCAUUCGGUUGGGCACUCUGGAAGAACUGCCGGUGAUAAGCCGGAGGAAGGUGUGGAUGACGUCAAGUCCUCAUGGCCCUUACGGGUUGGGCUACACACGUGCUACAAUGGUGGUGACAAUGGGUUAAUCCCCAAAAGCCAUCUCAGUUCGGAUUGUCGCCUGCAACUCGGCGGCAUGAAGUCGGAAUCGCUAGUAAUCGCGUAACAGCAUGACGCGGUGAAUACGUUCCCGGGCCUUGUACACACCGCCCGUCACACCAUGGGAAUUGGGUCUACCCGACGACGGUGCGCCAACCUUAGCGAUAAGGAAGCAGCCGGCCACGGUAGGCUCAGUGACUGGGAUGAAGUCGUAACAAGGUAGCC